rnacentral:tRNA from 2 species
GGUAGCGUGGCCGAGUGGUCUAAGGCGCUGGUUUAAGGCACCAGUCUCUCCGGAGGCGUGGGUUCGAAUCCCACCGCUGCCA